CAGUCGCCGCGGUAAAACGAGGGGGGCAAGCGUUGUUCGGAAUUAUUGGGCGUAAAGGGUGCGUAGGCGGUUCAGCAAGUCUCGUGUGAAAUCUUCGGGCUCAACCCGAAGUCUGCACGGGAAACUACUGGGCUUGAGUAAUGGAGAGGUGAGUGGAAUUUCCGGUGUAGCGGUGAAAUGCGUAGAUAUCGGAAGGAACACCUGUGGCGAAAGCGGCUCACUGGACAUUUACUGACGCUGAUGCACGAAAGCUAGGGGAGCAAACAGGAUUAGAUACCCCAGUAGUCCCUGUCUCUUAUAA
rnacentral:rRNA from 1 species